GAUGAACGCUGGCGGCGUGCUUAACACAUGCAAGUCGAACGGAAAGGCCCAAGCUUGCUUGGGUACUCGAGUGGCGAACGGGUGAGUAACACGUGGGUGAUCUGCCCUGCACUUCGGGAUAAGCCUGGGAAACUGGGUCUAAUACCGGAUAGGGCGAUGGUUUGGAUGCCAUUGUGGAAAGUUUUUUCGGUGUGGGAUGAGCUCGCGGCCUAUCAGCUUGUUGGUGGGGUAAUGGCCUACCAAGGCGUCGACGGGUAGCCGGCCUGAGAGGGUGUACGGCCACAUUGGGACUGAGAUACGGCCCAGACUCCUACGGGAGGCAGCAGUGGGGAAUAUUGCACAAUGGGCGCAAGCCUGAUGCAGCGACGCCGCGUGGGGGAUGACGGCCUUCGGGUUGUAAACUCCUUUCGCUAGGGACGAAGCGUUUUUGCGACGGUACCUGGAGAAGAAGCACCGGCUAACUACGUG
rnacentral:rRNA from 1 species